rnacentral:tRNA from 3 species
UGCCCGAUAGUAUAACGGUAGUACAGCAGAUUUUGGUUCUGCUUGUCCAGGUUCGAAUCCUGGUCGGGCAA